rnacentral:rRNA from 1 species
GAUGAACGCUGGCGGCGUGCCUAAUACAUGCAAGUCGAGCGAACAGACGAGGAGCUUGCUCCUCUGACGUUAGCGGCGGACGGGUGAGUAACACGUGGAUAACCUACCUAUAAGACUGGGAUAACUUCGGGAAACCGGAGCUAAUACCGGAUAAUAUAUUGAACCGCAUGGUUCAAUAGUGAAAGACGGUUUUGCUGUCACUUAUAGAUGGAUCCGCGCCGCAUUAGCUAGUUGGUAAGGUAACGGCGUACCAAGGCAACGAUGCGUAGCCGACCUGAGAGGCUGAUCGGCCACACUGGAACUGAGACACGGUCCAGACGCCUACGGGAGGCAGCAGUAGGGAAUCUUCCGCAAUGGGCGAAAGCCUGACGGAGCAACGCCGCGUGAGUGAUGAAGGUCUUCGGAUCGUAAAACUCUGUUACUAGGUAAGAACAAAUGUGUAAGUAACUAUGCACGUCUUGACGGUACCUAAUCAGAAAGCCACGGCUAACUACGUG